GGGGGUUAUCAGUUGUCACUCUUUACCCGCUCACCACAGAAACCGUUUCAAGUUUCCUAUAUCUGUCCCAUUACAUCUCCCUCUCUCCCCCCCUCAAUGAAUGGUAUUGAAGGAAACCCUUAGAGCUCUCUCCUUUCUUGGACGAACAAAAUGUCAAGAUUGUCAGGAACUCUGCUUUGUCUUGUGCUAGCAAUCAUACUACUAUCAGGGUCAUUUCCAGUGGGAGAAUCAGCAAUAGGAGUCAACUGGGGGACAAUCUCAUUUCACAGGUUGAAGCCCUCAACUGUGGUGGAUCUGUUGAAAGACAACAAGAUAAAGAGAGUGAAGUUGUUCGAUGCAGACCCAGGUUCGCUUACUGCUUUAAUGGGGAGUGGGAUUGAAGUCAUGGUUGGGAUUCCUAAUGAGAUGUUGGCUGCUCUUAGCUCUUCAACUGAUGCUUCUGAUUUGUGGGUUAGGCAAAAUGUGUCUAGAUAUGUUGUUAAAGGUGGUGCUGAUAUAAGGUACGUUGCUGUAGGAAAUGAACCAUUCCUCACAAGUUAUUCAGGUCAAUUUCAAUCUUUUGUUGUCCCUGCUCUGCUCAAUCUACAACAGUCUCUGGUGAAAGCAAAUCUAGCUGGUUAUGUAAAGCUAGUAGUUCCUUGCAAUGCUGAUGCUUAUGAGUCUUCUCUUCCUUCUCAAGGGGCAUUCCGACCUGAACUAACUCAGAUUAUGACUCAACUUGUGUCCUUCCUCAACUCAAACGGCUCACCUUUUGUUGUGAAUAUCUACCCGUUUCUUAGCCUUUAUGGGAACUCAGAUUUUCCACAAGACUAUGCAUUCUUUGAGGGGAGUACCCAUCCUGUUACAGAUGGGUCUAAUGUCUACUACAAUGCUUUUGAUGGGAAUUUCGACACUUUAGUUGCAGCGCUCAACAAACUUGGAUAUGGUCAAAUGCCCAUUGUUAUUGGCGAGGUGGGUUGGCCAACUGAUGGAGCCAUUGGCGCCAACCUCACUGCAGCAAGGGUUUUCAACCAGGGACUUAUAAAACAUGUAUUGAGUAACAAAGGAACCCCUCUGAGACCAGAUGCCCCUCCCAUGGAUAUUUAUCUUUUCGCUCUGCUUGAUGAAGGAGCAAAGAGUGUACUCCCAGGAAACUUUGAAAGACACUGGGGGAUUUUCUCGUUUGAUGGCCAGGCUAAAUAUGCACUGAACCUUGGUUUGGGUAACAAGUUACUGAAGAAUGCAAAGAAUGUCGAGUAUCUCCCAUCAAGGUGGUGUGUGGCAGACCCCUCAAAAGAUCUAACAAGUGUAGCCAACCACCUGAGAAUAGCCUGCAGUGCUGCUGAUUGCACAACACUUAAUUAUGGCGGAUCUUGCAAUGAAAUUGGGGCAAAAGGAAACAUCUCAUAUGCAUUCAACAGUUACUAUCAGCUCCAGAUGCAAAAUGCACAAAGCUGUGAUUUCGAUGGGCUUGGUAUGGUGACAUUCCUAGACCCAUCAGUUGGUGAUUGCAGGUUCCCUGUUGGAGUGAAUGAUCAUAAGAGUUCAUUAGCUUUCAGAUCAUGUCGUAGGUGGACCACCAUUUGGACUUCUAUCCUAGGGGGGGUGUGGUUCUUUCUAAUGUUAUGAGAAGUUUCUUUGCAUGAGUUUUUCUCACCCCCCCUGUUCAAGAACUAUAAGCAGUCUUGCACAUAGACAAGAGAAUACAGUUAUUUAGGCAUGUCAAGUUUAGUAGAAAUUCCCAUUGCAUCAGGGCUUUUGCUGCAUGUUUGUCUGCAGCAGCAGCGCCAACCUUCAAAUAAACAUGAAUGAUGCUUACCUCGUGAGUACAACAAGAUCAAAAGUAAACAGAAUCAACAAUAAACCAUGAGCAGGCAUAAUAUAUUUAGUUUACCUCGAGGAUAAUACACUGCAAAGGUAAAUCCUUUUAUUACAGGAUACUGAUAAAAUUACAAAUGCCGGAGCCCUCUCGUUUAUAAUAAGAAGAAGAGUAUUGAAGAACUUCUGCAACUUGCAGAAUGAUGCUCCAAUACUCCAAUUAUUUGCAGCUUAUAGUAUAAUUUAUUUUGGUCUGCAACACAAGAUUUACACACACACACACACACACACACACACACACACAAGCACAUAGAUUAUGCCACAUUCACGCCUUAUUGUUUUUUAUGUUCCGAUGCAGCAGUUCUCUCCUCUAAUGCUAGUGCAGCAUACUUUUCCACAGCGCAUGUUUGGUAUCCUUCCGACAAAGAAGCAGCAGCGACAACCUUCAAAUAAUCAAGAAUUACAUUAGUGGAAAAGCAAUCAACCAUGAAGGAUAAGCAAGCAUGGUGAAUUUAAAUUACCUUGAGGAUAAUACACUUUCUCGGAUGCCAGCAUACGAGGACCUUCAGUUGCAUGUGCACAAAUGGUGAAGGAUGCCACCAAGAGGAGGCUAGCCAUGAAAGCCACAGAUACAGUUUCCUUUCUCACCAUCUUUGCUUGCACAAUAUAUAGUUUGUAUCAAAGAAAAAUAUACAUGUAAUUUUGGAAUGAGAAGCCUUGUUUAUAACAUCCUAUUUAUACCACAAAUUUGCAUAUACUU